CCUACGGGUGGCAGCAGUGGGGAAUAUUGGGCAAUGGGCGCAAGCCUGACCCAGCAAUGCCGCGUGUAGGAAGAAGGCUUUCGGGUUGUAAACUUCUUUUAUCAGGGACGAAGAAAGUGACGGUACUUGCGGUAUAAGCCACGGCUACCUACGUGCAAGCAGCCGCGGGAAUACGUAGGUGGCACGCGUUAACCGGAUUUAUUGGGGGUAAAGGGCGUGUAGGCGGGAGCGCAAGUCAGAUGUGAAAACUCAGGGCUCAACCCUGAACCUGCAUUUGCUACUGUGUUGCUUGAGUGCUGGAGAGGCAAGCGGAAUUCCGGGUGUAGCGGUGAAAUGCGUAGAGAUACGGAGGAACACCAGUGGCGAAGGCGGAUUGCUGGACAAUAACUGACGCUGAGGUGCGAAAGCGUGGGGAGCAAACAGGAUUAGAUACCCCAGUAGUC
rnacentral:rRNA from 1 species